rnacentral:rRNA from 1 species
UACGGAGGGGACUAGCGUUGUUCGGAAUUACUGGGCGUAAAGCGUGCGCAGGCGGCUUUGCAAGUCAGAUGUGAAAUCCCCGGGCUCAACCUGGGAACUGCAUUUGUGACUGCAUGGCUGGAGUGCGGCAGAGGGGGAUGGAAUUCCGCGUGUAGCAGUGAAAUGCGUAGAUAUCAGGAGGAACACCGGUGGCGAAGGCGGAUCUCUGGGCCAUUACUGACGCUGAGGAGCGAAAGCGUGGGGAGCGAACAGG